rnacentral:rRNA from 1 species
GAGACCGGCGCACGGGUGCGUAACGCGUAUGCAAUCUACCUUUUACAGAGGGAUAGCCCAGAGAAAUUUGGAUUAAUACCUCAUAGYAUUGCRRSAUGGCAUCAUKMWKMWAUUAAAGUCACAACGGUAAAAGAUGAGCAUGCGUCCCAUUAGCUAGUUGGUAAGGUAACGGCUUACCAAGGCUACGAUGGGUAGGGGUCCUGAGAGGGAGAUCCCCCACACUGGUACUGAGACACGGACCAGACUCCUACGGGAGGCAGCAGUGAGGAAUAUUGGACAAUGGGCGCAAGCCUGAUCCAGCCAUGCCGCGUGCAGGAUGACGGUCCUAUGGAUUGUAAACUGCUUUUAUACGAGAAGAAACACUACUUCGUGAAGUAGCUUGACGGUAUCGUAAGAAUAAGGAUCGGCUAACUCCGUGCCAGCAGCCGCGGUAAUACGGAGGAUCCAAGCGUUAUCCGGAAUCAUUGGGUUUAAAGGGUCCGUAGGCGGUUUAAUAAGUCAGUGGUGAAAGCCCAUCGCUCAACGGUGGAACGGCCAUUGAUACUGUUAGACUUGAAUUAUUAGGAAGUAACUAGAAUAUGUAGUGUAGCGGUGAAAUGCUUAGAGAUUACAUGGAAUACCAAUUGCGAAGGCAGGUUACUACUAAUUGAUUGACGCUGAUGGACGAAAGCGUGGGUAGCGAACAGGAUUAGAUACCCUGGUAGUCCACGCCGUAAACGAUGGAUACUAGCUGUUGGGAGCAAUCUCAGUGGCUAAGCGAAAGUGAUAAGUAUCCCACCUGGGGAGUACGUUCGCAAGAAUGAAACUCAAAGGAAUUGACGGGGGCCCGCACAAGCGGUGGAGCAUGUGGUUUAAUUCGAUGAUACGCGAGGAACCUUACCAAGGCUUAAAUGUAGAUUGACCGGUUUGGAAACAGAUCUUUCGCAAGACAAUUUACAAGGUGCUGCAUGGUUGUCGUCAGCUCGUGCCGUGAGGUGUCAGGUUAAGUCCUAUAACGAGCGCAACCCCUGUUGUUAGUUGCCAGCGAGUCAUGU